rnacentral:rRNA from 1 species
CCCCUGGGCGCAGCCUGAUCCAGCAUGCCGCGUGAGUGAAGAAGGCCUUCGGGUUGUAAAGCUCUUUUGUCAGGGAAGAAACGGCUCAGGCUAAUAUCUUGAGCUAAUGACGGUACCUGAAGAAUAAGCACCGGCUAACUACGUGCCAGCAGCCGCGGUAAUACGUAGGGUGCAAGCGUUAAUCGGAAUUACUGGGCGUAAAGCGUGCGCAGGCGGUUUUGUAAGUCUGACGUGAAAUCCCCGGGCUCAACCUGGGAAUUGCGUUGGAGACUGCAAGGCUGGAGUCUGGCAGAGGGGGGUAAAAUUCCACGUGUAGCAGUGAAAUGCGUAAAGAUGUGGAGGAACACCGAUGGCGAAGGCAGCCCCCUGGGUCAAGACUGACGCUCAUGCACGAAAGCGUGGGGAGCAAACAGGAUUAGAUACCCUGGUAGUCCACGCCCUAAACGAUGUCUACUAGUUGUCGGGUUUUAAUUAACUUGGUAACGCACCUAACGCGUGAAGUAGACCGCCUGGGGAGUACGGUCGCAAGAUUAAAACUCAAAUGAAAUUGACGGA